rnacentral:tRNA from 10 species
CUUUAAUUCAAUGAGGUAAGUGUUUUCUUAGAUUCCAGAAACCAAAGCAGCUUUUAAACCAGGAAGUUGACAUAAUUCGCUUUGAGUUCUGUCCUGAAAAGACAAUUUGUCCGCUUUGGCUCUACUUCCUUAGUCAGUGGAUUAAACAGGAUAACAAAUAUAUUUAUUUUGUAUUGCAAAACUAUUUCUUUGUAUUGCAAAUAAAUUUAUCCAAAAGAAUACAAAGCCACCGUUCCUUCAAAAGCAGUGGUGGGCAGGAGGCUCCGGACUGUGUGACAGGCAAGAGUUUGUGUUUGCUUAGUCCUGUAUUGACUGUAAGCCCAUCUUCCUCUCUCUGUCCUCCCUCCUGUUCCAGUUUACCUGGGGUGAGGAAGCAGUAGCUGCUGCCAAGCUUUCUGCAGAAGAGGUUACAGCAGGAGAAUGACACAGCACUUUAAGGACUCUAGAGAAACAAAGAAACCUCUGCUUCCUUUGUAGAGCACAGAUUAAAACGCAUGCAGCUGACAACCUUCUGAGAAAAUCCAAUUGGCAGUCUCCAGCCUUCCCCAACUCACUGAACUCACCAUCUCAUCUUCACUCCUCAGCCUACUCUCUCCCCAGACUCCCUUGCACAAUGGUAUCCCUCUUUUCUUGUACACUCAAGUCAGAAAACUGGGCAACCACCUUAAGCUUUAAAUCCUUUAAAUGACAAUCAUAUAGAGAAUUAUUCUAAAUUUCUUAGUCUCCCAGGACCACCUCCAACCUAUGUCUAUAGCUUUAAUUUCUGCCUUCGUCAACUCACAGUUGAUGUGCUUACACUGUUCAACAUCUUGGAAUUAACCACGUUUACCAUUCUGUUUCCUACUUGAUUCAUUUUAUUCCAACUGUAAAAGUCUUCCCAUGCUUAUUUCCCUAAAUCUCAUCUCAUCUGUGUGUCCUCUCCUCUCCUUUUCUGAAUUAUCAGGUAUAUCCAACAGCUCUCCUUGUGUUACUACAACGUUUUAUGCAUGUAUCUUUUACAUGACUACUUUCUCCUCUUAGGCAAUA